rnacentral:rRNA from 1 species
CUACGGGCUGCAGCAGUAAGGAAUAUUGCGCAAUGGAGGCAACUCUGACGCAGCCAUGCCGCGUGCAGGAAGAAGGCCUUAUGGGUCGUAAACUGCUUUUAUUUAGGAAUAAACCCCCGAACGUGUUCGGGGCUGAAGGUACUAAACGAAUAAGCACCGGCUAACUCCGUGCCAGCAGCCGCGGUAAUACGGAGGGUGCAAGCGUUAUCCGGAUUUAUUGGGUUUAAAGGGUGCGCAGGCGGGCUAUUAAGUCAGUGGUGAAAUCCCGGGGCUCAACUCCGGAACUGCCAUUGAUACUGAUAGUCUUGAGUUUGGUUGAAGUGGGCGGAAUGUAGCAUGUAGCGGUGAAAUGCAUAGAUAUGCUACAGAACACCAAUCGCGGAGGCAGCUCACUAAGCCAAAACUGACGCUCACGCACGAAAGCGUGGGGAUCAAACAGGAUUAGAUACCCCAGUAGUC